UACGGGGGGGGCAAGCGUUGUUCGGAAUUACUGGGCGUAAAGGGCUCGUAGGCGGCCAACUAAGUCAGACGUGAAAUCCCUCGGCUUAACCGGGGAACUGCGUCUGAUACUGGAUGGCUCGAGGUUGGGAGAGGGAUGCGGAAUUCCAGGUGUAGCGGUGAAAUGCGUAGAUAUCUGGAGGAACACCGGUGGCGAAGGCGGCAUCCUGGACCAACACUGACGCUGAGUGAGCGAAAGCCAGGGGAGCAAACGGG
rnacentral:rRNA from 1 species